AGAGUUUGAUCCUGGCUCAGGAUGAACGCUGGCGGCGUGCCUAACACAUGCAAGUCGAACGGAUUUAUAACGAAACCUAGUGAAUUAUAAGUUAGUGGCGGACGGGUGAGUAACGCGUGGAAAACCUGCCGUAUACUGGGGGACAACACUUAGAAAUAGGUGCUAAUACCGCAUAAGCGCACAGACCCGCAUGGGACAGUGUGAAAAACAAAAAGUUAAAGCUUUUUAUGGUAUACGAUGGUUCCGCGUCUGAUUAGCUUGUUGGCGGGGUAACGGCCCACCAAGGCGACGAUCAGUAGCCGGCCUGAGAGGGUGAACGGCCACAUUGGGACUGAGACACGGCCCAGACUCCUGCGGGAGGCAGCAGUGGGGAAUAUUGCACAAUGGGGGAAACCCUGAUGCAGCGACGCCGCGUUAGCGAAGAAGUACCUCGGUAUGUAAAGCUCUAUCAGCAGGGAAGAAAGUGACAGUACCUGACUAAGAAGCCCCGGCUAACUACGUGCCAGCAGCCGCGGUAAUACGUAGGGGGCAAGCGUUAUCCGGAUUCACUGGGCGUAAAGGGAGCGCAGGCGGCGCGGCAAGUCUGAUGUGAAAGCCCGGGGCUCAACCCCGGGUCUGCAUUGGAAACUGUCGAGCUAGAGUGUCGGAGGGGUAAGCGGAAUUCUUAGUGUAGCGGUGAAAUGCGUAGAUAUUAGGAGGAACACCAGUGGCGAAGGCGGCUUACUGGACGAUGACUGACGCUGAGGCUCGAAAGCGUGGGGAGCAAACAGGAUUAGAUACCCUGGUAGUCCACGCCGUAAACGAUGAAUAUUAGGUGUCGGUGAGCAAAGCUCAUCGGUGCCGCAGCAAAACGCAAUAAAUAUUCCUCCUGGGGAGUACGUUGGCAAGAAUGAAACUCAAAGGAAUUGACGGGGACCCGCACAAGCGGUGGAGCAUGUGGUUUAAUUUGAAGCAACGCGGAGAACCUUACCAAGCCUUGACAUCCUGCUGACCGUCCCUUAGCCGGGGCUUCCCUUCGGGGCAGCAGAGACAGGUGGUGCAUGGUUGUCGUCAGCUCGUGUCGUGAGAUGUUGGGUUAAGUCCCGCAACGAGCGCAACCCUUAUCCUUAGUAGCCAGCAUAUCAGAUGGGAACUCUGAGGAGACUGCCGGAGACAAUCCGGAGGAAGGUGGGGAUGACAUCAAAUCAUCAUGCCCCUUAUGGCUUGGGCUACACACGUGCUACAAUGGUGGUAACAAAGUGACGCGACCCCGUGAGGGCAAGCCAACCACAAAAAAGCCAUCUCAGUUCGGAUUGUAGUCUGCAACCCGACUACAUGAAGCUGGAAUCGCUAGUAAUCGCGAAUCAGAAUGUCGCGGUGAAUACGUUCCCGGGUCUUGCACUCACCGCCCGUCA
rnacentral:rRNA from 1 species